rnacentral:lncRNA from 1 species
CCCUAACGUCCAUGACAGACUCAGAAAGUUACUUUCUGAUAAGUGGGACUAAGUUGGCACGGACACAGAGGAAUACAAACAUGGAUGCAAACGGCCGGUAUGAAAUUGUAGCAGAGAAAGCAAAAUAUUUGCCAUCUUAGAAGAAAAACAAGUUUUUAUUUACAAGAUGGCAACAUGGGAUAAACAUGAGUCAUCUCUGUGCUCUUCAGGAGGAAGUAUUUAAUCUCAACUUUUCAAGUGGACACAUGCUCAGCCACAAAUAGUUUUGUUUUUACAGGUUACUCCCCAGCUAAGACCAGGAAGCCCUAAUUCUAUGUCAAAUAUUUCAGAAUGGUAUCAAUAAAAACCCCUGUGAUUACA